CUUUCGGAGAGUUUGAUCCUGGCUCAGGACGAACGCUGGCGGCGUGCCUAAUACAUGCAAGUCGAGCGAAUCUGAGGGAGCUUGCUCCCAACGAUUAGCGGCGGACGGGUGAGUAACACGUGGGCAACCUGCCCCUAAGAUUGGGAUAACUCCGGGAAACCGGUGCUAAUACCGAAUAGUUUCUCUUUUCACAUGAGGA
rnacentral:ncRNA from 1 species